UACAGAGGUCUCAAGCGUUGUUCGGAUUCAUUGGGCGUAAAGGGUGCGUAGGUGGCGCGCUAAGUCAGGUGUGAAAUUUCGGAGCUUAACUCCGAAACUGCAUUUGAUACUGGCGUGCUUGAGGACUGGAGAGGAGACUGGAAUUCAUGGUGUAGCAGUGAAAUGCGUAGAGAUCAUGAGGAAGACCAGUGGCGAAGGCGGGUCUCUGGACAGUUCCUGACGCUGAGGUGCGAAAGCGUGGGGAGCAAACAGG
rnacentral:rRNA from 1 species